rnacentral:rRNA from 1 species
CCUGCCCUUAACUCUGGGAUAAGCCUGGGAAACUGGGUCUAAUACCGGAUAUGACUCCUCAUCGCAUGGUGGGGGGUGGAAAGCUUUUUGUGGUUUUGGAUGGACUCGCGGCCUAUCAGCUUGUUGGUGAGGUAAUGGCUUACCAAGGCGACGACGGGUAGCCGGCCUGAGAGGGUGACCGGCCACACUGGGACUGAGACACGGCCCAGACUCCUACGGGAGGCAGCAGUGGGGAAUAUUGCACAAUGGGCGCAAGCCUGAUGCAGCGACGCCGCGUGAGGGAUGACGGCCUUCGGGUUGUAAACCUCUUUCAGUAGGGAAGAAGCGAAAGUGACGGUACCUGCAGAAGAAGCGCCGGCUAACUACGUGCCAGCAGCCGCGGUAAUACGUAGGGCGCAAGCGUUAUCCGGAAUUAUUGGGCGUAAAGAGCUCGUAGGCGGUUUGUCGCGUCUGCCGUGAAAGUCCGGGGCUCAACUCCGGAUCUGCGGUGGGUACGGGCAGACUAGAGUGAUGUAGGGGAGACUGGAAUUCCUGGUGUAGCGGUGAAAUGCGCAGAUAUCAGGAGGAACACCGAUGGCGAAGGCAGGUCUCUGGGCAUUAACUGACGCUGAGGAGCGAAAGCAUGGGGAGCGAACAG